ensembl:lncRNA
CUGACAUACCAAUGUUUCCUGAUUCCUGGGCUUAUGACUCUGCUGCCCCAGUGCAACCGCAACCCCUUAUGCGAUUGACGCGCAGUUGGUUAACCUCGGGAGGGACCUCCAGCCCAGGACAGAGUUGUCAUUGACCUGUAUAUCUCACUACCAGGAGCUGCCCCGAGACAGUGGAUGAUCUUGUGACGCUGUUGGAGAAUCACCAGGUCACAGCAGAGUUGAUGCAGAGCAGUAGGAAAGAGCCCUUACGACGCAGCCAAUUUGACCCCAAGAGAGACUGGCUGAGGAAGGGUAAUAUGGAGACACUGCCCCUAAGUCAGAGGCCCAAAGGGGGCUUUUCCACAUUUUGCAAAAAAGAAUGGCCUCUUAUCUUUAUAAGAAGCCAUUGCUAAGCUGGUGGAACUUGUGGUGGAACAGUUGCUAGUCCCCAAACGCUAUAUUCCAAAAGUGUUGUAACUGGCCCACUCACACAUGUUGGGAGCUCAUCUAGGGAUAGAGAAGACCUACAACCGAAUCCUGGAGCGCUUCUACUGGCCGGGGGUAAAGAAGACGAUCCAGGAUUGCUGCAAAAUCUGCCCGGAGAUCCAGAAGACAGCUCCAAAGAUGCUGCAAAGGAGAAGACGAGCAGAAUACCUCGGCUACACCAUUGGGAGAGGCAGUGUAAGACCCCAAUCCCGGAAAGUGGAAGCCAUCGCCACCUGGCCUAAGUCAGCAACUAAGCGGCAAGUAAAAACGUUCCUGGGCCUGGUCGGCUUUUAUCAGUGCUUUAUACCUCACUUUGUCACCAUUGCAGCCCCUUUACAUGAGAUGAUGAAAAACAGCCACCCACACCAGGUUCUUUGGAGCACCAACGCUGUGGAAGCAUUUGCAACCCUUCGGAAGGCCUUGUGCACUGAGCCGAUCUUAAGCACCCCUAACUUCCAGGACACGUUCGUCGUCCAUACAUAUGGCUCAGGAUCAGGUAUUGGAGCUGUGCUGUCCCAGGUUAGAGGAGGAGAACACCUCCGGGUUGACACAACAUGAAGAAGCUUUAAGCCAAAGGUGUGAUCAUUGAAUGUACUGUAGUAUUUAGUGAACAGGGAUUGGUCAGGUCAGUGAGGGAUUUCAGAUUCGACCAUUAGAUGGAGCCAGAAGGAAGUCAUGUGAUGCCUUGGAGAAGAAAGGAAUUCACGAGGGAGGAGUUGGACUUGAAUGUGCAGCCAAUCACAUACGACUGCAGCACAAGGGUCGCGCCAGCUCCUGGGAGAUUGGAAGAGCUGAGCUGGAGAAGGAGCAAACAGCCUCCUGUGAACCAAUAUUGAUAGCCAUAUGAGACUUUGACCAAGGGACUUCUCUAUUUCGCGAGAUAAUAUACUCUUCAGACUUUAUUCCGCUGUAUUGCUUAUUACUUCUGUUAGUUAUUAAGUUCUUUAUCAUUUUUAAACUCGAGCCAGUUGACUCUUAUUGAUUUCUCGUCUCAGAAGGGCCGAGGGGAACAGUAGUGGUCCUUGAUCAGAACCCAACACUGCAUAGGUUCGACGCUCUGCAAGAAGUUGCGCAUGCGCGUUACAGAUGUGAUUAGACUUAAAGAAGUAAUGUUUCAAACAGCCCGCAUUACUAUGUCCUUAAAGCUUCUUGUUAACAGUACACCGUCUGUAGUUCCAUAUUUAUGUCGUUUUGAAUGAAAUAUUCUGAGUAUUAAAUGAAAUUUGAACCCAAUUUCUGUGCUGAAAUCGCAUAUAGUGCUCACUGCGUAUCUUGC